rnacentral:rRNA from 1 species
UACGUAGGGUGCAAGCGUUAAUCGGAAUUACUGGGCGUAAAGCGUGCGCAGGCGGUUAUUCAAGUCAGGUGUGAAAUCCCCGGGCUCAACCUGGGAACUGCAUUUGUGACUGCAUGGCUAGAGUACGGUAGAGGGGGAUGGAAUUCCGCGUGUAGCAGUGAAAUGCGUAGAUAUGCGGAGGAACACCGAUGGCGAAGGCAAUCCCCUGGACCUGUACUGACGCUCAUGCACGAAAGCGUGGGGAGCAAACAGG